GGGGAUGGUGAGGGGCUGGGGAAGAAGAAUGUUAACGAAUUGGGAUAAUGCUCCAGAGAAUGGCAGGUUACAUUUGUAUUUAUACAUUGCCAUCAAAGGAUGGACAUAGGUGGGUUGCAUUAAAUUCAUUGGUGAUAGAUUAAGGAGGUGGGAUGAAGCAAAGGGUGGGGGGAACAUCUGGGAUUGGAUAAACAGUGAAAUGAGGGACACAUACUUAGGUGGGUGCAGGAACAAUUAACAUGAUAAUAAAGGAAUUUGUGAUAUCUGUCCUGGCGCCCACCACACUUGGUUGUGCCCCAUGGGCUCCA